UUCAGCAUUAAAAAGAAAUCAUAUUCCGCCAUUAUUCGAUUUUCGAUGUCAGCCAUAUACCUGCCUGCCUCCAGCCUGCACAUUGGCAUAUGGCAUUCAUUUUCAAAAUAUUCGUCAACGCACCUGGAUCAACAAAAAUUGAAAACACCCGGCAUUUAAAAUAAAAUGUAAAAAAAUAAAUCAAUUAAAUUAGACACAGUUCAAAGAUUUACAUUUAAUUUAUUUAAACAUGUGAAAUAUUUCAUUGCAAAUAAAUAAAUAUUAAAAUAAUAAAUGAAAAAAAGUCCAUUUGAUUCACAAAAUAAAAAAAAAAUAAAAAGCAAAAAUGGAUUCUAAUUUAAAUAUAAAAUCCAAAGACUUGACGAUUAAGACAAAAAAUAAAAGAAAUCUAUUCAGAUUCAAGAAGAAAAAAAAAAAAUGGCGACCAAUAUCAUCAAGCAUAAAAUGUGUUAUUAGACGUAAAACAUUAAACACAAAAUUUAAUAUGCUCAUUCAUAUUUAAAAAAAAAAAAAAAACCAAACAUAGACGAGUAUAAAAUUAUAUAUUUUCUUGAGUUCGAAAUGUUCCGUUCCUUUCUAUGAAAAAAAUUGAUAAGAUGAUCGAUGAUUGUGAAUGGAACCAAAAAAGGAAAAGGAAAUAAAGUUACAAUCAUAAUUAUGACAUCCAAGUCAAACGAUUGAGUCAAGUCUAAAGUUUUGAUAAACACUCCUGUCAUAGUGUUGCGAUAAAAAGACUACAACAUUCGCCUCACAGUGCACCCGUAGAAAAAAUUUCCAAUGUGGUUUCUAAGCGAAUCAUAAUAAGAUUGAACAAAUUUUUCAAAGGAUUCGCAUAUCAUAAAAGAGGCCUACAAAAGGAAUAUGAAGGCCUGGUACGAUGACUAAAAACAACCUAACUGACUACUACACAUGUUCAAAAUCUCAUCAAUGUAUAGUUCCUGUGGAUCGUGAGUAAUAGAUUUAAGUUAAGAUAAAAUAAGAAAACAAAAAACAUAAAUUAUUUUUAAGUUAUAGUUUAGGAAGCAAUUUAUUUAUUCUAAUAAUAAUUUUAUUAUGUAAAUGAUUUCAAAUUGGUAAACUUUCUCGUCUGCAAAACCAUAACUUUACAUCUCAGAUGUUAGAUAGAAAUGAAUAGAAUUGUACUACAUUAUUUUUUAUUGAUUUACAAAAACUUAAGCAACAAACAGAUAUAACAUGGAAGAGCUUUUGCUUAUUUUCAAAAAUGAAAAAAAAAAAAUUUUAUCUUACAUACAAAUAUGAAAAACAUGGACAAACUCGAGUUAGAAAAAUAUCAUUGACAUCAAAAUAAUAUCGUCUGAAUGAAUCCAACGUAUACAUCGUCACACAAAAUACUCAUUAAUGUUUGAGAUAUUAACACUUGAGGAAUUUGUAAAAUAUUUUUUUUCUGCAGUUUAGUAAUUCCGUUAGGUUUUUUAUUUUCUAUUUAAAAUGUUUUAUUUCAGUGUGUCCAGAAUAGAUAACAUUCGGGUGUAAUUAUCCCAUGAACAGUUUAAGUCUUCAAACAUUUUUUUAAAAAUAGAAUUCUCUUGCAUUCGUUUCUUUAAGUAAUUCAAUAAUUUUUUAAAUUAGGUUUUACGAACUACUCAUAUGUGAGAGCUCCGUAUUAAAAUUGCUUGGACGAAUUAUUCCUUGUCUAGGUAACUCUUCUUGAAGCAAAAAUUGGUUUCA